rnacentral:rRNA from 1 species
UCGAGAAUUUUUGACAAUGGGGGAAACCCUGAUCGAGCGACGCCGCGUGGAGGAUGAAGGUCUUCGGAUUGUAAACUCCUGUCAUUGGGGAACAAUGCGUGACGGUUAACUGCCGUCGCGUUGAUAGUACCCGAAGAGGAAGAGACGGCUAACUCUGUG